ACGUACACUCCUACGGGAGGCAGCAGUGGGGAAUAUUGGACAAUGGGCGCAAGCCUGAUCCAGCCAUGCCGCGUGAGUGAUGAAGGCCCUAGGGUUGUAAAGCUCUUUCACCGGUGAAGAUAAUGACGGUAACCGGAGAAGAAGCCCCGGCUAACUUCGUGCCAGCAGCCGCGGUAAUACGAAGGGGGCUAGCGUUGUUCGGAUUUACUGGGCGUAAAGCGCACGUAGGCGGACUAUUAAGUCAGGGGUGAAAUCCCGGGGCUCAACCCCGGAACUGCCUUUGAUACUGGUAGUCUUGAGUUCGAGAGAGGUGAGUGGAAUUCCGAGUGUAGAUGUGAAAUUCGUAGAUAUUCGGAGGAACACCAGUGGCGAAGGCGGCUCACUGGCUCGAUACUGACGCUGAGGUGCGAAAGCGUGGGGAGCAAACAGGAUUAGAAACCCCUGUAGUCCCAUGA
rnacentral:rRNA from 1 species